GGCGUGCCUAAUACAUGCAAGUCGAGCGGACAGAUGGGAGCUUGCUCCCUGAUGUUAGCGGCGGACGGGUGAGUAACACGUGGGUAACCUGCCUGUAAGACUGGGAUAACUCCGGGAAACCGGGGCUAAUACCGGAUGGUUGUUUGAACCGCAUGGUUCAGACAUAAAAGGUGGCUUCGGCUACCACUUACAGAUGGACCCGCGGCGCAUUAGCUAGUUGGUGAGGUAACGGCUCACCAAGGCAACGAUGCGUAGCCGACCUGAGAGGGUGAUCGGCCACACUGGGACUGAGACACGGCCCAGACUCCUACGGGAGGCAGCAGUAGGGAAUCUUCCGCAAUGGACGAAAGUCUGACGGAGCAACGCCGCGUGAGUGAUGAAGGUUUUCGGAUCGUAAAGCUCUGUUGUUAGGGAAGAACAAGUGCCGUUCAAAUAGGGCGGCACCUUGACGGUACCUAACCAGAAAGCCACGGCUAACUACGUGCCAGCA
rnacentral:rRNA from 1 species